rnacentral:rRNA from 1 species
GACGAACGCUGGCGGCGUGCCUAAUACAUGCAAGUCGAGCGGACUUUCAAGAAGCUUGCUUUUUGAAAGUUAGCGGCGGACGGGUGAGUAACACGUGGGCAACCUGCCUGCAAGACGGGGAUAACUUCGGGAAACCGGGGCUAAUACCGGAUAAUAUCUUCCUUCGCAUGAAGGAAGGUUGAAAGGCGGCGCAAGCUGCCGCUUGCAGAUGGGCCCGCGGCGCAUUAGCUAGUUGGUGAGGUAACGGCUCACCAAGGCGACGAUGCGUAGCCGACCUGAGAGGGUGAUCGGCCACACUGGGACUGAGACACGGCCCAGACUCCUACGGGAGGCAGCAGUAGGGAAUCUUCCGCAAUGGACGAAAGUCUGACGGAGCAACGCCGCGUGAGCGAAGAAGGUCUUCGGAUCGUAAAGCUCUGUUGUCAGGGAAGAACAAGUACCGUUCGAACAGGGCGGUACCUUGACGGUACCUGACCAGAAAGCCACGGCUAACUACGUG